rfam:Pseudomonas sp. BAY1663 contig000068, whole genome shotgun sequence.
GAACCAGGGGGUCGGGUCGCUUUGCCUGGCGAAGUGACCUAGGGGUACAGGGAGUACCUCCGUCAACGGACCGGGUUCGGCAGCGC